UGUUUAGAACAGAUUGUAUUUUGUUUCAUUGUAAAUGUUGUAUGUUUGAUUUUUUGCCUUUGUGUGCAUUGCUCUCUGUGUGGUGUGAUUUUUUAAUGGUAUCCGUCUGUUGUCUCUGACAAUAGACAAAAUUAUUUUUUUUUUAAAUCAAAUUAAUCGUUGCGGCUACGAAAAUGUCAAAUCGUUAAGCAUAAUCGAAGCAGAUGUUGAAAGGAAUAAUACUUGAAAUCAGUGUUAUUUUUUCUCAACUGCCAUACGUCGGGCAAAAAAAUGUUACGGUUUUGAAGAGGCAAAUCUCAAAUUGACGAAAAUACGAAAUCAACUUUAAAAUGUUAGGCAGUAUUGGAAUAAAUAAUACCCACAUCGGAAAUCACAUCGUAAGCGAAUUUUUUUUUCCGAAAAAAGAAAUUACUCCGCUUUCUACGUGUAGGCCUACACGCUAGGAAAAUGAUGAAAACAACGCGAGGAAAACAUCACAACGUUAGUGAGAAUAAAAAUACCCGAAAUCAGUAUUAUUUUUCUUGCUACAAAGAAAACAAAAUGGGUUAUGGAAAUAACAAUCAAAAUGAAGAAAAUAACGGCAUAAAAAUUAAUCAUCCGCAACGAGAGAAGUAAAUACAUGUACAUGUACUUGCCUCAAAAAGUCGGAAAGCGAAUGUUGGCAAACGGUGGGAAAAUGACGGCAGCGAAAGAAAAUGAAAUUGACGAAAUUACGAGAAAAAAAAUUACACCAUAAUGAACAAAAUAUCUGUUUAGAAAAUGACUGAAUUUCAGUUAUAUACAGCGGCAUUUCAAAAACAUCGAUCUUGUUGGCAUUGUCGAGAAGUGCCUUCAAAAAGACCUAAUUGCCCCCCCCCCCCCAAAAGCACAUUGUGAAAGGGUACAACUUAUUGGCAACCUGCCGUUAUCGGUGUCGGCACAUGUUCGUGUGCAUUAUGACAAAAAAAGAUCAUGUCUGUUUUUAAAAGUAAAUAGUGGAAACAUGGGUAGAAUCGUUUAGUUUCUAUUUGGUAACAAGUGGCCUUAUUACAAGUAGGCUUAGACAUAAUGCUUUGGAAUGUUUCACUUCAGUAACAAAUGGGCUAGGCCCAGUGUUUUCGUAACCCUGUUCACUUAGGAAAGAGUUGCAGCUUUCUUCAAAGAAACUGAUGAUCUAAAAGUUGAGACUGCAUGGAUGAGCUAGGCUGCUUUGUCUGGACGAAAAUCAACCCUCCAAGGCUCCAACAGCCUCAUCACACAGAAACUCGAGGAAUCGGAAGCAGGGAGGAGGACCGACAGAUGAACGGAUGACCUGCUUGCUGGGCUUCCCAUUACUGAUUCUUGAAAGAAAUGAGGACCACUGACUGAUGAGGGAAUUGUCUUGCUGAGAUGAGGAUGAGCCUGCCUCAAGCCAUCGUAAGCUGGGAGGACCGACGAUGGACUGACACCGCCUGCUGGCCUGGCCAUUACUGAUUCUUGAGGACAUGAGGACCACCAAGCUUGGACGAGCCUGGACAAUGACGAAGCUGCUCUACUGGACAAGGAUGCCCUCGUCGGAAACUUGAGUUAAAAAAAAAACUAGCUUGCACAAUAUGAAAUGAUAAAUCAUAUACACUAAGGCAACAGCACUAAAAUAAAAUGAAAAGUAAUUUUGAUUUCAUUAAAUUAUUUAUGCCUCUAAAAUAAUCUUAAACUGGAUACUGCAACAGACAGUUAACAAUGGACAAUAAUGGAAACUUGCUGAAAAAUUAUUGUAAGGGUAAUAAUUGGUCACUGGCUUUUAAGCAGUGACAUGUCUGGGAGAAGGGGUAUUCCUUUGAUCGGUCCUGGGUCAUCCAAAAUUAUUGCUUCAAUUAGUUAAUAAUUUCAUACUCCUUAUCUUUAAUGCGUUCGAUUGGAUCUUCUCGGUAAAUUAUAAAUGAGGUAUCGCCUAAGGUUUUCUAUCUGCUUUUUGUUCAGUUGACAAUGGAGAAUUUUGCUCUAUAAAUUUAAUUUGAUAUUGAAAGUGCAUAUUUUAGAAAACCAAUUUAAGUCAUAAGAGUUUUGAAAGAUUUCAAAAAGGAUUAAUUUAUUGUUUAAAAACUGAAGAAAUGUAACUUUAUUUAAAUUUAACGUCAUUAACAAGACGUCAGUUUAACUAAAACGUGACUUUUUUCCAUUGUAUGUUUAUAAGAAAACACAAGAACGUUUAAUUUUUAGGAAAAUUUAAAGAAUAAACUGUUCAGGAACUUCUAUCCAUCAAAAUGCAUUGCAACAGGUAUAAGUGACACUCAAAUUACAUUUGUGUUUGUCCUUUUGUGAUUUAUUUCAUUGUACUUUUUUACUUGUUAUUUUUUUAAUUCGUAUGCACAAUUGUUUUUCUUGGUGGUUUUGCAUGUCUUUUCAUUUUCUUAUUAAUAAUUAACUAACCUCACAAAAGGA